rnacentral:lncRNA from 10 species
CUCUUGCCUUCUGCCAUGUAAGAUAUGACUGUGCUCCUCCUUCACCUUCUGCCAUGAUUGUGAGGCCUCCACAGCCAUGUGGAACUGGAAGCUGUUUUUCCCUCUUUGGGGUCUCAGAGAGAUUGGUGGCAAGGACUCCUGGGAAGAGAAAAGCUGAAGGACACUCUGGCAAGAGGUACCACCUCUCACUGGCUGCCCAAGCAAGAUUCUAUGGCUUGGAAUAAUUCUCAGCGACUCACUCAUCAAAGGGCAUCUAUCUAGAAGCCCUGCUCCUUCAGGGACAUCUGAGGUUGAUGAGCUGAUCCAAUAAGCCAUCAGAGCUGGAAUAGUAGUAGUUAACAAUGGCUCUCUGCACUCUUUUUAAAUAACUUUGCUUUUCAGGCCAAGGUGAGAGCCUCGUGGGAAUUUCACAAAUUUUAUAGAAGCAGAGGAGUGCUAUUUGAGCAAGGGGCGGAUAACACCUACAAUCCACUCAGGAUUUCCAAGCAUAGCCGGAUGCAGAAGUACUCAUACUUCACUACAGAAUCACCUGGGGAGCUUUUAACCUUCUGAUUCUAGUGUUUCCCUCUGGCAGAUGGAGACAGAAACUUGACUGGGCUCAGGAAUAUGUGUUUUUAAAAUUCUCCAGAAGAUUUUAAUGCAGUACAAGUAAGAAGACAGGACUGCAAUUCACAAGAACAGUAUAUCCUGGUGAUUCCUCAGAACAGAACAGACUCAAAAAAAAAAAAAAAAGAAGAAGACAAAAACAAAGAUAACAUGAAACCAGAUUCCACAACCAUGUUUCAAGUGACCUAUCCCAGAGACACUGCCCCACAAUCCCAUCAAGUCUGACUGGUACCAACGACUCCAGGGGGCCUCUGCCUUCAGAACUGUAUAGGCCUGUGUGGGCACCAGUCUUUACAUCCAUGUUCCCUCUCCCUCGAGGACCCAGGUUGACCUGUCCAAGAGCUCUCUCAUCAUGCUGAAUUUUGGUGACAGCAUAGGGUGAGCCUGUGGAUUCUACAGCUCAGCAAACCUCCAGCCAAGUAGUUUCCCUUCAUAUGGUUCCCCAGUCUUUACAUGUGGCAUCCAAGAAGGGAAAGUAUCCCCUCUCCCUUGAUGAGAUGUCAGCCCCUCACCACACAUGGCCUGGGUGCUAGGAGGACCCAUACGGGCUAGGGAGGGGCCACUGGGAGGGGAAUGUGUAGGGGGCAGACCCCAUCUAGCUGCUUCUUGAUGAGCCUGGCAUGGAGUGUUUGAUCCAAAUCUUGACAGCACAUUGGUGGCUGUUGUCACUGUGUGGCAGGACUUGCAGUUGAGCUUCUUGUGCCUUGGACUUCUUGUGACUUGGACCUCAGCCUCCAUUGAAGACCGUAACACAAGUCCCAACUUACAAACAAAUGAGGGAAUGAAUGAGCUUUGGCAUUGGAAAAACCUGGGUUCAAAUCCUGGCUACUCUACUUCCUGUGUCAGUUGCUUCACUUUUCUAAAUAUAAAUUGUGUUCCUUCUGUUUUGGCUUCUAGGAAACCCCGAGCCAAACGUAUGGCCACCUCUGACCACUCGACCAGCCCAGCAUGGUGUACAUUUCUGGGUAGCUUAUCACGCCUUCCAAGCAUUGCCUUUAUCUUCCUUCUCCCCAUCAAGCCUGUAUUGUUUUCCUUUUGAAUCAUAAGCACUUUUGUUAAAUACCUCAAAUCUUUCGAGAACAGCAAGGAGCAAAAUAAACUUAACUUCUCUGAGACCAUGU